CCUACGGGAGGCAGCAGUGAGGAAUAUUGGUCAAUGGGCGCGAGCCUGAACCAGCCAUGUAGCGUGAAGGAUGACUGCCCUACGGGUUGUAAACUUCUUUUAUAAAGGAAUAAAGUGAGGCACGUGUGCCCUUUUGUAUGUACUUUAUGAAUAAGGAUCGGCUAACUCCGUGCCAGCAGCCGCGGUAAUACGGAGGAUCCGAGCGUUAGCCGGAUUUAUUGGGUUUAAAGGGAGCGUAGAUGGGUUGUUAAGUCAGUUGUGAAAGUUUGCGGCUGAACCGUAAAAUUGCAAUUGAUACUGGCAGCCUUGAGUACAGUAGAGGUAGGCGGAAUUCGUGGUGUAGCGGUGAAAUGCUUAGAGAUCACGAAGAACUCCGAUUGCGAAGGCAGCCUACUAAGCUGCCACUGACAUUGAUGCUCGAAAGUGUGGGUAUCAAACAGGAUUAGAUACCCGUGUAGUC
rnacentral:rRNA from 1 species